rnacentral:lncRNA from 1 species
UGGGCCCCACGUAUCAUCCCUUCCCUCUUGAGAAGGAUUUGUCCUCAAAUCUGGUGGGUCGUCUUUAUGAGGACUUAUUUUUGUUGGCUCCAUAUAAGUUCCUCCAGGGUCAAAUGUGAAUCUGCAAUAAGCAUCAAACAUAUCACUAAUUAAUUUCAAUUAACCCAACAAGAUGCAUGAAAAGGUAUGUUUAGAAGAAGGCUUCCUAAUGUUAGAUUGUUCAAGCUUUAUAAUUUUAUGAAGCCUUACUUCUUUUAAAAAUUUAUUUUUGUCUUGAGUUAGUGGGAACCAAAGAGGUAACCAUAGCUCAAGUUGUGAAUUGCCAUGUGUUAAAAGUUCUAAAUUUUGAAAAUAUGAUAUGGCAAUUUCUUUGAAAAACAAAUUAAAAUGAGAAAACUCAAAGAUAGAUGGNGAAAAGUUAAAGGAUGGAAAACCUCCCCUUAAUAGUCUUGGUUCUAUGAGGAGUGUAGGAGGAGGUGGUGCUUGCUCUUUUCCUAGUUCUUGCUCUUCUUUUUGUCUUAUUGGCUCUUCUUCUUUGCUUCUCUCUCUUCUUUCUAUUUCU